rnacentral:rRNA from 1 species
GACGAACGCUGGCGGCGUGCUUAACACAUGCAAGUCGAACGGAAAGGCCCUGCUUGCAGGGUACUCGAGUGGCGAACGGGUGAGUAACACGUGGGUGAUCUGCCCUGCACUUCGGGAUAAGCCUGGGAAACUGGGUCUAAUACCGGAUAGGAGCCAUUCUUAGUGUGAUGGCUGGAAAGUUUUGUCGGUGUAGGAUGAGCUCGCGGCCUAUCAGCUUGUUGGUGGGGUAAUGGCCUACCAAGGCGGCGACGGGUAGCCGGCCUGAGAGGGUGGACGGCCACAUUGGGACUGAGAUACGGCCCAGACUCCUACGGGAGGCAGCAGUGGGGAAUAUUGCACAAUGGGCGCAAGCCUGAUGCAGCGACGCCGCGUGGGGGAUGACGGCCUUCGGGUUGUAAACUCCUUUCGCUAGGGACGAAGCUUUUUGUGACGGUACCUAGAUAAGAAGCACCGGCUAACUACGUGCCAGCAGCCGCGGUAA